rnacentral:rRNA from 1 species
UACGUAGGGGGCUAGCGUUGUCCGGAAUCAUUGGGCGUAAAGAGCGUGUAGGCGGCCCGGUAAGUCCGCUGUGAAAGUCGGGGGCUCAACCCUCGAAUGCCGGUGGAUACUGUCGGGCUAGAGUGCGGAAGAGGCGAGUGGAAUUCCUGGUGUAGCGGUGAAAUGCGCAGAUAUCAGGAGGAACACCAAUAGCGAAGGCAGCUCGCUGGGACGGUACUGACGCUGAGACGCGAAAGCGUGGGGAGCGAACAGG